UAUUUCUGUGAUAUUGAACAACUGUAUUUUGAGUUUUAAAUGGCCAUGAGAAAACCUUACAUGCACUACCAUCAGAGCUAUG